rnacentral:rRNA from 1 species
GACGAACGCUGGCGGCGUGCUUAACACAUGCAAGUCGUGCGGUAAGGCCCUUUCGGGGGUACACGAGCGGCGAACGGGUGAGUAACACGUGAGCAACCUGCCCUUCACUUUGGGAUAACUGCCGGAAACGGUGGCUAAUACCGGAUAUGACUUCCUCACGCAUGUGGGGUGGUGGAAAGCCUUCGGAUGGUGGGGGAUGGGCUCGCGGUCUAUCAGCUUGUUGGUGGGGUGAUGGCCUACCAAGGCUUCGACGGGUAGCCGGCCUGAGAGGGUGACCGGCCACACUGGGACUGAGACACGGCCCAGACUCCUACGGGAGGCAGCAGUGGGGAAUAUUGGACAAUGGGCGAAAGCCUGAUCCAGCAACGCCGCGUGAGGGAUGACGGCCUUCGGGUGGUAAACCUCUUUCGCCUGCGACGAAGCGAGAGUGACGGUAGCAGGUAAAGAAGCACCGGCCAACUACGU